GAUGAACGCUGGCGGCGUGCCUAAUACAUGCAAGUCGAGCGAACGGACGAGAAGCUUGCUUUUCUGAUGUUAGCGGCGGACGGGUGAGUAACACGUGGAUAACCUACCUAUAAGACUGGGAUAACUUCGGGAAGCCGGAGCUAAUACCGUAUAAUAUUUUGAACCGCAUGGUUCAAAAGUGAAAGACGGUCUUGCUGUCACUUAUAGAUGGAUCCGCGCUGCAUUAGCUAGUUGGUAAGGUAACGGCUUACCAAGGCAACGAUGCGUAGCCGACCUGAGAGGGGGAUAGGCGACGUGGGAACUGGGCCACGGACCAGACUACUACGGGAGGCAGCAGUAGGGAAUGGGAGGCAACGGGGGAAAGCAUGACGGAGCAACGCCGAGUGAGUGAUGAAGGUGUUGGGAUCGUAAAGAUCGGUUAUGAGGGAAGAACAUAUGUGUACGUAAAUGUGCAGAUAGUGACGGUACCUAAUGAGAAAGCCACGGCUAACUACGUG
rnacentral:rRNA from 1 species